UGGGGUCAGGGUCUCUGAUGCUCCCACCUCAGGGCCUUUGCACCUGCUGUUCUUACUAGAGCUCCCUUCUCUGAACUUUGUCCUGCUUGCACCCAACCCAGUGUCUUCUCAGACAGGUUUUCCUGGGACCGCUCAUGUACACCAGUCACCCCUGUCAAAACCCUACUCAGUGUUCACUAUGAUGAGUGCAUUCAAUUAUGGUUUACAGAAGGCUCGCACAAGCGGUACAGAGGGCUCCUGUGCACGCUUGACCAGCUUCCCCUACCGUCACCUGUGAUGCAUUCGUCAAAGCUGAGAUAAUCCACUCAGUGCAAGGCUCUCAGCCAAACUACAGACUUCCUUGGGAUGUCACCACUAUUUCCACUAAAGUUGUUUUUCUGUCCCAGGAUCCAGUCCAGGAUACCAUGUUGCAUUUAGAUUAAACUCAGUCUUUCAAAAGAGAAAAA